rnacentral:rRNA from 1 species
GAUGAACGCUAGCUACAGGCUUAACACAUGCAAGUCGAGGGGUAGCAGGGUAGCAAUACCGCUGACGACCGGCGCACGGGUGAGUAACACGUAUCCAACCUUCCCAUAACUCGGGGAUAGCCUUUCGAAAGAAAGAUUAAUACCCGAUAGUACUUUUUUGAGGCAUCUUGAGAAAGUUAAAGAUUUAUUGGUUAUGGAUGGGGAUGCGUUCCAUUAGAUUGUUGGUGAGGUAACGGCUCACCAAGUCUUUGAUGUUUAGGGGUCCUGAGAGGGUGGUCCCCCACACUGGUACUGAGACACGGACCAGACUCCUACGGGAGGCAGCAGUGAGGAAUAUUGGUCAAUGGGCGCAAGCCUGAACCAGCCAUCCCGCGUGCAGGAAGACGGCGCUAUGCGUUGUAAACUGCUUUUCCAGGGAGAGAAACUUGCGCACGUGUUGCGCAAUUGACGGUACCCUGGGAAUAAGCAUCGGCUAACUCCGUGCCAGCAGCCGCGGUAAACUACUCGUA